rnacentral:misc_RNA from 1 species
GAUGAAGAACGCAGCGAAAUGCGAUAAGUAAUGUGAAUUGCAGAAUUCAGUGAAUCAUCGAAUCUUUGAACGCACCUUGCGCCUUUUGGUAUUCCGAAAGGCACACCUGUUUGAGCGUCAUGAAUACCUCAACCUCCAUCUUUUCUUCGGAUUGAUGGGUGACUUGGAUGUUGAGCCCUGCUGGUAUGCUAUAUCAGCUGGCUUUAAACUUAUUAGCCGGCUCUGUACUGGAUCGGUUUGACUCGACGUGAUAAUAUUAUCGUUGAGGAUGCAUGUCUCAUGCAGCCGGAAAGUAUCAAAGCAGCUUCUAGCUUGCCUUUAGUGCACUUUUACAUUUUAGACCUCAGAUCAGGUGGGACUACCCGCUGAACUUAAGCAUAUCAAUAAGCGGAGGA